AGCUGACACUUACUGGGAAGAGGAACCUCUGAGAUCUUCAUUGGGGUUCUUUGUGAGCAGAUCUUCAUAGGAAGGCGGUGGUUGCGGGAUGUCUCUCCUAAGAAGAUAGUGACUGUUUUGUGAGCAAGCACAGGAGUGGGGACCACCAAAUCCUUGCUGGAAGGAACUGAUGAUCUGCUGCCCCAGGCUGCCCAUUGCUGUCCAUUCCUGUUCCCCCCACUCCGGACUCCUGCUCGUUGCCUUGGAUCUCCACACAGUAUACGUUGUGUAUGUCUGACCUGAGAUGGAUUGGCCUCAUAGCCUAUGGGACCCUGGUAAGACACUCCAUGUUUCACAGGUGAAAUGGCUGAGGCUGGAAAUACCUUUGGAGGUGGACCACAAGAGUUUCAAAGCUGACUGGAGCCCAUGGAAGGAUGGAACAGGCCACAGGAGCAGAGUGCUCAAUAAACUGUAGGCCAAAGACAACCCUUCCUCCAGAGGAUGUAUUAUUCAUUGGAAACACACCAGCACAAGAAGGAAAUGAAGGCCCAUCUUCAGAGUAUCUACCGUCUGCAGGCACUGUGAUGGGUAUCUCACAUACGUUAACUCAGCAAGAACUCAGAUUUUCCUGGGUCCUUGGAAUGGCGUUGGACUAUCCACCUGGAAGUCACAGGUACUUCACUGGAACUGCAGAAGGGGGCGAAGUAUGGAGUGAGGGUGUUGCUCCUCAUUGGCUGUUGAAUUUACGUCUCCAGUAGGCCAGGGAAGCUCAAACUAAUCCAAAGAGCUGCGGAGGCAGCAGCUGCAGCAGCUGUGCACCCGACUUCACCUAUCAGCCAGCUAUCAGCAUGCUAAUGCUAACUCAGAGAGGCAGCGGGACUCCUGCAUCACAGUGCCUAGCUCAGGACACCGUGCUAAGUGGACCCAUUGUUCCAGGCUCGCUGACAGCUGGGUAGAGCAAAGAGGUGAUCCAGCUAUGGAGCACCACCAGGAACCACAUAGAAGGCAUUGGAGGUAAUAGUCACACCUGCCUUUAAAUCCCAGCCACUCACCAGCUGGUAGACUUUGCAAGCUCUGUAACUUGAGCUUUAACUACCCCAUCUGUAAAGUGGGCACAGGGACAAUGGCCAUUCGGUAGGGCUCCGAGAAGGAUUUAAAAGAUAGAAAGUGCCUGGCUAAUGCUUUUGCUGUUUAAGUCACAGUGAGCACUUCAGAGGCCUUGGUCCAAAAGGCCCAGCUUCACAGUGCAGAUCCUCUGGGGCUUAUCUCAUCUGAAUACAUAAUAGAGACAGGCAGGGUGAUGACUAAUGAUUCUCACUUUUUUUGUGCCGCGCUGUGGUGUAGUGUGUGUGUGAGCAUGAGUGUGUGUGCGUGUGCGUGUGCAUGUGCGUGUGCGUGUGCGUGUGUGUGUGUGUGUGUGUGUGUGUGUGUGUGUGUGUGUGUUGUAGCCCAGACUGGCCUCCGAUUCCCUAUGUAGCUGAGAAUGACCAUGAAGUCCCUAUCCUCUUGCAUUCAGAAGUGCAUCCCAGUUUACGGGAUGCUGAGAACUGAACCCAGGGCCCCAUGAAUGCUAGGCGAGCACUGUACCAUCCGGGCAGCAUCCUUAGUCCCUGUGUUUAUUUUCACAGAUGUGCUAGUGCAUUCUGUGUGACACAUUCAAGUUGAUGCUGGAGUGGGCUGAGGGUUAAGAACAAGGCACCUUGAACUAGAUACAGAUCCUCCCUCAAAGAGCUCAUGGGCUGAUGGGUGAAGGUGGUAUGGGGAUACAAGGAGACUCCAUGUAACCAAGAGACCAAGAAGUUGCUUCUGCUGUGACUGGCAGGGAGAAAUUGGGAUGUAUAGAAGAGAUUGCCUUGAACUCAUGACUGGGCCCUUAUUCCCUUAACAAGAGUCUGGGUGCUGGCUCAAUGCACAUGACAUGAAGAAAAAUGCAAAUGGUUUUGCAAAAAUGUUAAGUAUCAUCAGCAGACACCCAGAUGCUGGAUGAGGCAGCCUUGCUAUCCUCCCUCUAAGCUCCAGGACACAAAAAGUGACACAGUAGUUGUCCUAGUUAAGAUUACUAUUGCUAUGAUGAAACACUGUGGCCAAAAGCAAGUUGGGGAAGAAAUGGUUUAUCUGGCUUACAUUUCCAUUUCGUAAUCCAUCACUGGAGAAAGUCAGGACAGGAACUCAGGCAGGGCUGGAACCUGGAGGCAGGAGCUGAUGCAGGGGCCAUGGAGGGGUGCUGCUUACUGGCUUUCUCAGCCUGCUUUCUUAUAGAACCCAGGACCACUAUUUCAGUGGUGGUACCACCCACAAUGUGCUGAGCUCUCCAUCAUGAAUCACUAUUUAAGAAAAUGUAUUACAGCCAGUUUUAAUGAGGCAUUUUCUCAGUUAAGAUUCCCUCAGAUGGCUCUAACUUGUGUCAAGUUGACAUAAAACUACCCAGCACAGUUGACCCCUUAUCAGUUUGACACACAAACAUACCACUGUUAGGUCACAGCCCUUCCUUUCUUGUUCAUAUGUGAUAUCCCCAAGAUCACACAUGAAUAUAAACAUUACAAAAAUUUAAAAGUCCAACAGACUUUAAAAAUUCAAUCUCUUUUAAAUCCAAAGUCUUUGUAAAAUUCCAAAAUCUCUUUAAAAGUUCAAAGUCGC